rnacentral:rRNA from 1 species
UACAGAGGGUGCUAGCGUUGUCCGGAAUCAUUGGGCGUAAAGAGCGUGUAGGCGGUCCGGUAAGUCCGCUGUGAAAGUCGGGGGCUCAACCCUCGAAUGCCGGUGGAUACUGUCGGGCUAGAGUGCGGAAGAGGAGAGUGGAAUUCCUGGUGUAGCGGUGAAAUGCGCAGAUAUCAGGAGGAACACCAAUGGCGAAGGCAGCUCGCUGGAACGGUACUGACGCUGAGGCGCGAAAGCGUGGGGAGCGAACAGG